AGCGGCCCGCAGAGGGCCAGGGCAGAAGCGCGAAAGGCGCGGGCUGGCCCCUUCUGGGAGCCGUAGCGGAAGAGUGUUCGUGGUCAUGUGACGCGGAAAAGGGCGGACGCGUGGCCCACGCACUGGAACGGCUCCACGAGUCUGUCACCCAGGUUGGAGUGCGGUGGUGUGAUCUUGGCUCCCUGCAACCUCCACCUCCCAGGUUCAAGCGAUUCUCCUGCCUCAGCCUCCCAAGUAGCUGGGAUUACAGGCACCCACGACCAUGAAGAAUGGCAUUUUUAAAAGAUGGCUUUCUUAAAAAAGGAUACUAAGUUGCUCUUCUACUCAUACCAAGUAGGGCUAUGAUUUUGAUUCAGCAAUUCUUCAAACCACUGAUGCUGGUUGACCAUUUGACUUUGUUUUUGAAGUAUUUUUUACAUACAGUGUACAGAACAUUUCUGCUGGAUAUUUGGAUACUGAACAGGAGUAACAAGAGGAACAGCUCCUACCUACCCCCCUGCCCCUUCCUCACAAGCCUGUUGAAGGCAAUGGUGAUGAAAGUAAAUAUUUAAAAACACUACCAUAGCUGUCCCAAAUUUCAGAAAAACAAGGUACCACUGGAACCAUUUAAUUUUGUUGGAACACAGAAUGACCAUCUUGUGAUCAGUUUUCUGCAUCUUUAAAAUACCUGGAAGGUCAUCUUUAAAUAGUACAAUCUGAUAGAAGUUUAAUACUUAGUGUAGACUUAUAUGAAUACUUCUACAUUCAUACAUUUUUGUAUACUUACACAUUUUCAUACUCAAUGCUUAAUUCAAAAAAUAUUUGAGUACCUGCAGUGUUCCCCAUGCUACAUACUGGGCUUAAACAGCCAAAAAGACACAGUCUUUGACCUCAAAAUACUUUGAUUCUUGUAAGAAAAACUGACAAAGACAAAGAGAAGGCAAUGUGAAAACUUCUACAGUUGGGAUAACCUUGGAGGUUACAGGAUGUGGACUCACUGAAAGCUUUCUGCUGGACUUGAAGCUGCAGUCUGAAGGACAGACGGGUGUUGCUUAGUGAAGGGAAAGUAGGAAGCAAAGACCCCUGGACAGAGUGUAGCAGGCACAGAGGGAGCAUGACACCUCCGGGAGAGAGCCGCAAGCACCUGGGCCCAGAUCCCAGCUUUAGCUUCAUUAGCCCUGUGAACUCUGUAUGUCAGCCUUGACAUAGAAAAAAAGAGGAUUCUAAACCUCCAUCUUAAAAGAGACUUGGAAGAAGCUGGGAUUAUAGGCACACCACCACACCUGGCCCCAGAAAAGGGAAUCCUUGACCUGCAAGAAUCGAGGAAUAUUGUUUCUGACAUGCUCAGUGGACCUACUGCUGGUAUUCUUAACCAUUUCCCUCCUAAGUGGAACUUCUUUUGAGGUUAAUGUUUAUAUACAAUUACUUUAACAUUGGAUUUGGGAAAUGGAACAACCUACUGCGGAUCUUUCUGCUACCGAUGAAAGAAGAAGGUUGAGUUUUACCUUCUAGAGCUUUACAGUGUAAACAAGCAGUAUUAGGUUUUGUUUUUACCUUCUCCCCUUUGGCCCCAUCACAGAAGCACUGGCCUUUGUCUUUACAGACACAACCCUAGGAAGAGGGAAAGAGAAAGGGUUUUGUUUAGAAACAGCUGAAUAAAUCCCAACCGGCAGGGUAAAAGCAAAUGCAUUUCUCUGUUCUUCGAGUAUUGGACACUAUCCGUUAGGAGCCAGGUGACCUUGUAGCAAUAUAUCAAUAGAAAUAUAUCAAUAUAUGAAUAGCAAUAAAGUAGAAAACUGAGAACAUGUUGCAUAAGGGAGAAAUGUCGGAUAAGAAUACAUCAUUUGUAUUGUACUUGGGAAUUUUAAGUAUUAAAGUAAUGGCCGUUUUUGCCAUUACUUUUAAUUACCUUUGUACCAACCUAAUAAUUUAUAUAUGGAAACGACAAAGCUAUCCUUUUUUUCAGGAUAAUAUCUAAUUGAAUCAUAAGAAAUUGCUGCUGUCAUAGUUAAAAAGUGGUCAAAUAUUGGCAAAUUCUUAGGUUCUACAUAAUGUUCAUAUAUGUAUAUGUGUAUAUAUGUAUAAUGUAUACAUGUAUAUGUACCUUUUAUGUAGAACACAAUGUAUUUGGUUAGUGCCAUUACUUGGACAAUUUUUUUGCCAUUACUUUCAAUGGCAAAAGCCACAAUAACUUUUGCACCAACCUUAUAUUGGUGUAGAUUAAUAUGCAAUAUAUUCCAUAGGUGAUAUUAAGGUUUUCUUUGACUUAAAUAAUGUUUAAGACUGGGAAGAGGAUCAAUACCCAUUACACAUCUUUAAAGAGAACAAACUAACUCAUUAAUGCUAGUAUCGGAAUGUUCUUUCUUUUGUUUAUUCUCAAAUAUUUUGAACAACAGAAUGUUCUUUCUUAUAAAACCAAAACCAAAACAAAAAAUUCAGCUGUGAGUUAGACAUACCUUAUCCUACCUAACUAGUCACUGUGACACACUUACCCCCCAGCCCUCACACCUAUGCACAUUCCAGCUCCAAUGGACAUCAAAUUUUUAAAACUUUUCUCUGCCAGCAGAGGAACAAAUAAAGAAAUAGUUUCAAAUAAUAGACUUAAAAUGUGUUUUGGCUGGGCACAGUGGCUCAUGCCUGUCAUCCCAGCACUUUGGGAGGCUGAGGCAGGCAGGUCACUUGAGGUCAGGAGUUUGAGACCAACCUGGCCAACCUGAUGAAACCCCAUCUCAACUAAAAAAUAUAAAAAUCAGCUGGGUGUGGUGGUGGGCUCCUGUAAUUCCAGCUACUCCAGAGGCUGAGGCAGGAGAAUGGCUUGAACCCAGGAGGUGGAGGUUGCAGUGAGCUGAGAUCAUGCCACUGCACUCCAGCCAGGGUGACAGAGCGAGACUCUGUCUCAAAAAAAAAAAUGUGUUUUGACAUAUAUGCUGCAUAUUAUAUGGUUACACAUUAAUCCUUUGCUUUAUUAUUUUUUCUUCAGGUUAAUAUUAACUGAAAAUUAAUUUGCUUUCUCCAGAAAAUAUGUUGAUGGCAGAGGCCAGGCACAUCUAGGAGAUAUACUGGAUGGUUAGUUGGGAAAAUAAAAAAAGAAAUGCCAGAUAUUCCUAAGGUGGAGAAUUCUACUUAUGCAACCAAAACAAAAAAAACCCACACAAACAAGAGUAUCUUUAACUGAAUAUCUUUCCUUAGUCUUGGGCAGUAGGCCUUGCUGUCAUUCCAGGAAGGGAGCACACAGUAAUUUUGAGACAUUCAUCAUUUGACACUCAUCAUGUUCAUAUACACUGCAGUUUAUAGGAAUGGAAAGUAACUACUGGGUAUCUACCCAGAGGAAAAUAAGUCAUUAUAUGAAAAAUACAUUUGCACACUCAUAUUUAUAACAGGACUAUUCGCAAUUGCAAAAAUUUGGAACCAGCCCAGAUACCCAUCAAUCAAUUAGUGGAUAAAGACAAUGUGGUAUAUAUACCAUGGAAUGCUACUCAGCCAUAAAAAGGAAUGAAAUAGGCUUGGCACGGGGGCUCACGCCUGCAAUCCCAGAACUUUGCGAGGCCCAGGCAGGCGGAUCACCUGAGGUCAGGAGUUCGAGACUAGCCUGGCCAACAUGGCAAAACCCCAUCUCUACUAAAAAUACAAAAAUCAGUCAGAUAUGGUGGCGGGCAUCUGUAAUCUCAGCUACUCGGGAAGCUGAGGCAGGUGAAUCGCUUGAACCUGGGAGGCGGAGAUUGCAGUGAGCUGAGAUCGCGCCAUUGCACUCAAGCCUGGGUGACAAGAGCAAAACUCCAUUUAAAAAAAAAAAAAAAGGAAUGAAAUAAUGGCAUUAGCAGCAACCUGGAUGGAAUUGGAGACCAUUAUUCUAAGUGAAGUAACUCAGGAAUAGAAAACGAAACGUCGCAUAUUCUCACUUAGCAGUGGGAGCUAAGCUAUGAGUACACAAAGGCAUAAGAAUGAUACAAUGGACUUUGGGGGAAAUGUAAAAGGGGGUGAGGGAUUAAAGACCACACACUGCGUACAGUGUACACUGUUCGGGUGAUGGGUGCAUCAAAAUCUCAGAAAUCACCACUGAAGAACUUAUCCAUGUAACCAAACACCACCUGUUCCCCAAUAACCUAUUGAAAUAAAUGAAGAGAAAGUAACCGACUGAGAAGGAAAUUCUAUAGUCUCCUCAAAGUUGCAUAUUUCAUAUUUCUAGAAGACUAACUCAUUGCAAUUUUCCUCCCAGAUAUUUGGGAUCAUGAAGUCAUGUCUUGACUAAAUGAUUUUAAUCUUGUCUUUCUGGGUUUUUAAACUUUAAUGCUGUUUUCAACCACAUCUUUUAAGUAUACUCUACUAAAACUCCAAGUGUGGAUUCCCAGACGGUAGCAUCUCCUGGAGACUUGUCAGAAAUGCAAGUCCUCAGAAAUGCAAGUCCUCAGUGCCCCCUCCCACCCCCAAGCAUGCUACUCCCUCACAGCAUCUGGAAGAGGCAGCAGGGCCUCCGAAAGGAAAGCCUGAGUCCUUCACCCAAGGGUACAAGAUACUGGGUAAGGAAGCUUAACCUGGGCAUGGACCUUGGGCUCAAGUGUGCACGGAGGAAGCCGGCACUGUUUUCAAAUGGGCAAUGAUCACCUCUGAUUCUUCUGCCUCCCAGAUGCCACACAACACCUGGAUUCUGAGCCUCUAGGGCUAGAGGGAAGAAGAGCAGAUUGGCAAUUCUCUAACCUGUGAGAAGGUGUGGGGGCCUUGAGACAGGCUUAAUUUUAUUUCUUGGAGUAAGAGUCACAUUCACCAUAUGCUACUGGAAAUCUUUUGGUCUUAGCUUAAGCAAGUGUUUGUUGAUCUUCUCCAGACUAGACUGGUCCCCUUUACCUAUACACUCCCAUUGAGCCUCUGCAGUUAGAUAUUCAAUGCCUAUUUUUUUCUGAUGUCUGUUUGUCCCAGGAGAGAAGGAAUUGUGCAGUCAUAGUCACACUGGUAUCUUUGGCAUAUAAGAUGUCCUAAACAAGUGUUUAUGGAUUGACUGGAUGAAUCAAUGGAUGGACAGCUGGUUUAUUUGCAUCCAAUUUGAAGGCAUAUGAAUUGCAUGGCUAUUUGAUGGGGUGCCAUGAUGCAGAUAUUUUCUGUAUGUAUGAAUUAUGAACAACUAUGAUCAAAAUGGCAAAAAAUGGAACCAGAGGCUUUGGCUAUUUUAACACAUGUUAAAAUUAACACAAGCCUAAUUAUUUGUUAGUUGCUUGGAUUAAAAGAAAUUCUUUUGGAAAAAGUUUAAACCCAACCCUCAGAAGAGCUGACAAACAGUACCGGAAACAGUGGUAUCUCCUCCCAUCUAAGUUCACCAACUGUUAAGUUGUCCCACCUACUCCAUCUCUCUGUCUGUCUCUCCUUCUCUCUUUCUCUCUCUCCACACACACAUACACCACUUUCCCCCAAAUCAUUCAAAAGUAGACUGCACGCAACAUGAAACUGUACCCCAGAUACUUCUGUAUGCCUCUCCCCCAUCCAAUUACAACCCUUAUCCCCAAAACUAAGAAAUCAAUGUUGAUACAGUAACUUCAGGAUACCAGUUUUUAAAUUAGAUCUUCAGCCUUAUACAAGGUCCUCAAUGACCAUAGAAAAUGAAAAACUGUUUGAUUUUUAGCAAAUCCAUCAUUUUAUGCCAGAGAUUUUGUCAGUGCUUUCACCCGCAAUAACACCUGAGGCCUGAUGUCAACAAGUGGCCUGAUGUCAACAAGUGGCAAGAAUCC